rnacentral:tRNA from 1 species
CGCGGGGUGGAGCAGCCUGGUAGCUCGUCGGGCUCAUAACCCGAAGGUCGUCGGUUCAAAUCCGGCCCCAGCAACCA